AUUGAACGCUGGCGGCAGGCUUAACACAUGCAAGUCGAGCGAGCGGCGGACGGGUGAGUAACGUCGGGGAAACUGCCUGAAGGAGGGGGAUAACUACUGGAAACGGUAGCUAAUACCGCAUACCAUCAACUGAGACCAGGUGGGAUUAGCUAGUAGGUGGGGUAAUGGCUAACCAAGGCGAAGAACCCUAGCGGGUCUGAGAGGAUGAACGGCCACACUGGAACUGAGACACGGUCCAGACUCCUACGGGAGGCAGCAGUGGGGAAUAUUGCACAAUGGGCGCAAGCCUGAUGCAGCCAUGCCGCGUGUGUGAAGAAGGCCUUCGGGUUGUAAAGCACUUUCAGCGAGGAGGCGUUACUCGCAGAAGAAGCACCGGCUAACUCCGUGCCAGCAGCCGCGGUAAUAC
rnacentral:rRNA from 1 species